GGUGUCUGCAGCCCAGGCAGGCCUGCUCCGGCAGCAGGAAGAACUGGACAGGAAAGCUGCCGAGCUGGAACGCAAGGAGCGGGAGCUGCAGAACACUGUAGCCAACUUGCAUGUGAGACAGAACAACUGGCCCCCCCUGCCCUCGUGGUGCCCUGUGAAGCCCUGCUUCUAUCAGGAUUUCUCCACAGAGAUCCCUGCCGACUACCAGCGGAUAUGCAAGAUGCUCUACUAUCUGUGGAUGUUGCAUUCAGUGACUCUGUUUCUGAACCUGCUUGCCUGCCUGGCCUGGUUCUCGGGCAACAGCUCCAAGGGAGUGGACUUUGGCCUCUCCAUCCUGUGGUUUCUGAUCUUCACUCCCUGUGCCUUCCUUUGUUGGUACCGACCCAUCUAUAAGGCCUUUAGGUCCGACAACUCUUUCAGCUUCUUUGUGUUCUUCUUUGUAUUUUUUUGUCAAAUAGGGAUCUACAUCAUCCAGUUGGUUGGCAUCCCUGGCCUGGGGGACAGGUGAGACCUGGGCAUCACAGAGGGAAUUAGGCUUUGGAUAUGGGACUCAGCCUCUCUUGCCCUGUUUUCUAGCUCCCACAGAGCCCCGCCAGUGCCCUGCUUUUCCCAUGGCGGGGAGUGAGUGAGUGGGCCAGCUCGGAUCUGCUUUGGGCCUUCUCUCCAGUUCUUCAUCAG
rnacentral:sRNA from 1 species